rnacentral:rRNA from 1 species
CUAGUUGGUGGGGUAAUGGCCUACCAAGGCGACAAUCCGUAGCUGGUCUGAGAGGACGACCAGCCACACCGGAACUGAGACACGGUCCGGACUCCUACGGGAGGCAGCAGUGGGGAAUAUUGGACAAUGGGGGAAACCCUGAUCCAGCGACGCCGCGUGUGUGAAGAAGGCCUGCGGGUUGUAAAGCACUUUUAGUGGGGACAAAAAGCUACGGAUUAAUACUCUGUGGUCUUGAUUUAACCCAAAGAAAAAGCACCGGCUAACUCUGUGCCAGCAGCCGCGGUAAUACAGAGGGUGCGAGCGUUAAUCGGAAUUACUGGGCGUAAAGCGCGCGUAGACGGUUUUGUAAGUCAGAUGUGAAAUCCCUGGGCUCAACCUGGGAACUGCAUUUGAGACUGCAUGGCUAGAGUAUGGAAGAGGGAAGUGGAAUUUCCGGUGUAGCGGUGAAAUGCGUAGAUAUCGGAAGGAACACCAGUGGCGAAAGCGACUUCCUGGUCCAAUACUGACGUUCAUGUGCGAAAGCGUGGGGAGCAAACAGGAUUAGAUACCCUGGUAGUCCACGCCAUAAACGAUGACAACUAGAUGUUGGGAGGGUCUGCCUCUCGGUGUCGCAGCUAACGCGUUAAGUUGUCCGCCUGGGGAGUACGGCCGCAAGGUUGAAACUCAAAGGAAUUGACG